rnacentral:misc_RNA from 1 species
UAGUGUUGCUUGGAUGGAGGACAGGUAUGCAGAACGUAUUCAAAUUUACUGUUUACCUAGAUGUUAGGAAGUUGGUAUUGAAAUGGGAGCACAUGAUUCAGUUGUUUUCACCACCCAACCUACAAAAUGAUGGCAAUAAAUUUUAAUUGAAAAGCAAAACCAUUAGGCACAAGCAGAUGAUUUACUUCUUGUUUUGGCUGAACAUGAGCUUGGGCUUUUGGGUACAUUCUCAAGGCUAAAUUUCUUUUCUUUUUAUUAUUAUUAUUAUUUUCUACAAUUUGCUAGGCUGAGAAAUGAAAUCUCAAGUUUAUUAACAUAUUUUUUUCAAAUGAUUGUUUGUGUACAAGUUUUAAUAUUUUGAACUUUUCUACAGUGACAUACACAAUUUACAGA